rnacentral:rRNA from 1 species
GACGAACGCUGGCGGCGUGCUUAACACAUGCAAGUCGAACGGAAAGGCCCUGCUUUUGUGGGGUGCUCGAGUGGCGAACGGGUGAGUAACACGUGAGUAACCUGCCCUUGACUUUGGGAUAACUUCAGGAAACUGGGGCUAAUACCGGAUAGGAGCUCCUGCUGCAUGGUGGGGGUUGGAAAGUUUCGGCGGUUGGGGAUGGACUCGCGGCUUAUCAGCUUGUUGGUGGGGUAGUGGCUUACCAAGGCUUUGACGGGUAGCCGGCCUGAGAGGGUGACCGGCCACAUGGGGACUGAGAUACGGACCAGAAUCCUACGGGAGGCAGCAGUGGGGAAUAUUGCACAAUGGGCGGAAGCCUGAUGCAGCAACUCCGCGUGCGGGAUGACGGCCUUCGGGGUGUAAACCGCUUUCGCCUGUGACGAAGCGUGAGUGACGGUAAUGGGUAAAGAAGCACCGGCUAACUACGUG